UACGUAGGGUGCAAGCGUUGUCCGGAAUUAUUGGGCGUAAAGAGCUCGUAGGCGGUUCGUCGCGUCGGCUGUGAAAACCCGGAGCUCAACUCCGGGCCUGCAGUCGAUACGGGCGGACUUGAGUGUUGCAGGGGAGACUGGAAUUCCUGGUGUAGCGGUGAAAUGCGCAGAUAUCAGGAGGAACACCGGUGGCGAAGGCGGCUCACUGGACUGGUACUGACGCUGAGGCGCGAAAGCGUGGGGAGCAAACGGG
rnacentral:rRNA from 1 species